rnacentral:rRNA from 1 species
UACGAAGGGGGGCUAGCGUUGCUCGGAUUGACUGGGCGUAAAGGGCGCGUAGGCGGAUAGUACAGUCAGGCGUGAAAUUCCUGGGCUCAACCUGGGGGCUGCGUUUGAUACGUAUUGUCUGGAGUUCGGAAGAGGGUCGUGGAAUUCCCCAGUGUAGAGGUGAAAUUCGUAGAUAUUGGGAAGAACACCGGUGGCGAAGGCGGCGACCUGGUCCGAUACUGACGCUGAGGUGCGAAAGCGUGGGAGCAACAGG